CAAAAUGUCUGUCCUAUGAUGAAUGUGCCCUGAUGUCUCAUUGGCUAUAUUGGUCACAUGGCUUCACUGGCCACAAAGGAUUCUGGGCACUGUGGGCCUCCUGUCUGAAGGUGGUUGCAAGCUGGUUGAAACAGAUGCUCUGACUAAACACAAAGGGUAGGACAAGGCAGGACGGUCAAUUAGGCACCAAGUGAGUGGAAAAGACAAUGAAGUUCCAAGGAGCAGGUAGAAGGACAAGAUCACUGUGGCCGUAGGCCUCACAGAGGAAGGAAGGCUUGCGCUGGGCUGGAAGGAUGCACAAGAUUUGGCUGGGCCACAGAAAGAACUUGAGGAGAAGGGCCUGAACCCCAAGAUUCCACAAGAAUUAAGCUAGAAGUCAAAGUGUUAUGCAAGCCAGAAGUUUCCAAGAGUAUAAGCCAAAUUUCUUCAAUGAAGAUUUCCAAAUCAGAAUGUCAGCCUCUCUUGUAGAAGAAGAAAUAUUGAUUUGUGUUAACUUCAUCUGACAAAAAAUGUUACAAAGUGAGGGCCAGCAGUGCACACUGUAAAGAAACCAGAAGGGACAUGAAUCUAUUAGAACUAGAGCUUCAAUUUAUAAAAUGGAAAGAGGAACAUCAGAUAGAGAUGUUAUUAAAAUAAAAUUACAUUGUUUGGUGAAACAAAAAGUAUUCUAGGCCGGGGUGGUGGCUUACGCCUAUAAUCCCAGCACUUUGGGAGGCUGAGGUGGGCAGAUCUCUUGAGGUCAGGAGUUCGAGACCAGCCUGGCCAACAUAGUGAAACCUUGUCUCUAUUAAAAAUUAGCCAAGCAUGGAGGCAGGCACCUGUAGUCCCAGCUACUCUGGAGGCUGAGGCAGAACUGCUUGAACCCAGGAGGCGGAGGUUGCAGUGAGCCAAGAUCACAUCAUUGCAUUCUAGCCUGGGUAACAGAGGGAG
rnacentral:lncRNA from 10 species